GCCACUGCCGCAGUUAUAAGUGCUAGGGCAAGGCCGCGCAGAUCUUGUGAGGUGUGGCCAUCGGGAUCCAUUGAAACGGUCGGUCCUUGUUGCGACAGACACAUGGCAACAUGCGCGAAGCUCCAUUACGAGCCCCGUACUCAUCCCGAGGCGGAGUCUAACGAUGAUGGCGUCUUCCGCACGCGCGCGCUCGCCCUCCGGUGAUAACGGCUCGGCGCGAAACGCCAUUCCGGUUUACCGGCGACUUCGACUUCGGGCAGCGCCUGCCGCGGUUGCCGAUGGCCGUUCACCUCAAUCCUUCUGCGCACGCGACCUUGGUCCUGCGGCUGCCGCUCUGGGGCGAGGGGGCGAGCAGCGGCGUGCGCCCAAGCUGAUCGCUCUUCCCCCGUCGCCGCCGGGAGCCCUCGCACUCGCGACGCUCUUUUCGCGCGAAGACAAGUGCACGGAAGGGGGCACGGCGAGCCGGUCUCGGAGGAGCAGCCACCGAAAGGGAAAGGAGAAGCCGCUUUGUUCAGACCGCACGAGAACCGCACGAUGCCGGGGAAGAGCAACACGGGAGGCUCCAAGGACAACGACCGAUGGAAGGUGAAGGCGAUUCCGUUUCCCCCGUCGGCGGAGAGGAGGGACACAGGCUUCCGGGAAUACCACCCCGGCGUGCUGCAUCCUCGCUCGGGAGGCAGCAGUCCGACCUCGCCGCAGCCAAGCCAAGGCGGAUGGAAAUACUCAUGAAGUUGGGACCGAGCCUGCAGAAAGCUGGGGCCAUCUCUACGGGAAUUAGCGUUCUUCAAGCGCAGUGGACAGUCACCGUGUGCUAUACUCAUCGCCGUGUUGUGUGCUGUAUAUAAUGUUGAGAAGGCGCUCUUUCAACGCCGGCUUUUUAUGUCUGCAUUCACAGGGUCGGCGCGGUUCUUAUGUGAAGGAUGUGUACUAUAAAGGAUAGCGUUUCUUGCUUUUAAGCCCAUGUUACUAUCUCCAAAAGUUAAUUAUGUGUUCGCGGAUGUAGGUGCAAACCAUGCUCGUGGUCUUUCUUCUCGCUGCCGUCUUCUCUAUCUAUGCUGUUUUUUCCUGCCGAAACCGUCUUUCUCUUUAAACAGGGGAGUGCCGCUAUAGUUCUCCAAAGACCAGCUUUUCAUGUUUCGCUGAUGUUACUCAAAAUUACAUAAUGGCACUGUCCGCUCCACUGCCUUGAACUGAGUUGCUGAGAUGGACGUUUUCUUUCUUUCUUUCUUUCUUUCUUUCUUUCUUUCUUUCUUUCUUUCUUUCUUUCUUUCUUUCUUUCUUGUUUGCGUUCCCAUUUUCUUUGUUGCGUAACAACACUCCACAGAUGUGCAACUUAUCCCUCCUAGUAAUUCAUUAUAUGCGCGAAUGUAAAGUUUUUCUCAGAGGCGAUUUGUAUGAAUCGACCGCCGAGUUUCAUCUGUUCUCUAGCCGUUUUCGUUUACCUUGUACAUGAGUAUUAUUUUGGAGAAGUGCUGUAAAUAAGCUUUUAAAAGAACAUUCAGGGUUUCCCACGUAGACGUCCAAGCAUUAAAAUAAAAGUUGUGCGUUAGUCAAACCAACGCAGUGGAUGGUACGGUCUUGCGCGUAAGCACACAAUUAAUGAGCCAUUAUUACACAUAUUUUUCUUAUCCGCUUGCGCGACUAAAGUAGUGUGCAAGAGCGACCGUAUAUAUAGUGAGAUUCUGAGUUCUUCUGAACUCUGAUAUUUCUUUAAUUAUCGCUUACGUGUAGAACUUAAAAAAAAGCUAUAAUUUCAACCAAACUUCCGAACAUUUAUUUAGGCUAAUGACAUAAUCGAUAAACAGCGGGAACUAUUUCAUAUAUCUUCUUUUUAAUGCACCCGCAGUGAAUUACAUUUAUCUCAUUCUAUUUCUUUUCAUAUGCUUUUGACCGACUUGAACGAGACACACUGCAUUUUUGUGAGUGUUAUCUCCGCUGCUGGAUUAAGAGAAUUCGCGAUGGAGAGAGCCAAGGGGGCUGCAUCCUAAGUCUCACCUCUGACUGUAGCGAAAGAGAGACCAUUCCAUUUAUCUUGAAUCGUUUUCUUUUUUUAGAAAACUGCGUGCACAAUUGACAAACGGAAUGAGCAUGGUCAUUAUUAGCUCAGAACAGGAAUUACCAAAAGUAUCUUUCUUUAAUUAACAGAACAAUGAAUGAAGAACAACUUCUUCCCUGGCUUUCUAUAUGCGAUAUACGCAUACAGUGUGUCUCAACUAUCAUGCACCAAGAUUUAAAAAUAUACGAAUGACACGUAGCUGGACAAAACCAAGGUAAAGUUGUUUGCCGUUGCUUGGAGAUACUCAGAUUAUUUAUUUUUUUCUUACAUUCCGCCUAAUUACAUAAUCGGUCUCAAUUAAGUAAUCAACUUCUCAAACAAUAUGUUUCGAUGAGAAGUGUCCACGAGAAAAUUGUAGAGCAACAUGAAAAACUCAAGAUACAGCUUUCUGUUGCUCAAUACGUGCUUCAUAAAAGUGUUUUUCCGAGCGUGAAAAAAGACCGCGAAUACACGCAAAAUUUCCGCGCGACUGGCCGCUCGAGGCACUUCGCGAGGCACCUCUUAAAAACGAAAAGCUUUGUGAAUUUGGCCCCUGAUGCCCAGUCCACAAAACUCUGCACUUUCUUGCUUUUGAGAGCUAUUGCGAAGAAAUAAGAGUUAGGAAGCAUAGAAACUUCCAACAUGUUCUAGUGCCGCUGAAAGAUAUAAACCUUCAACUUGCCUUUGUUCCCCCUUUUUUGCCGAUGCAAAAGAUGGAAGGAGAGGAGCAGUUCUAUAGUGACGUCGAAACUAUGAGUUGUAAAAUGCCGUGGAAGCGCGUUACUGGCAUGUUCUGUUCACAACAAAUCGUUGCUGAUUAGUUGAGUGUUCAAUUUUAUACGCCUGUUUUUGAUCGUCUCUUUCGGCAAGCGGCCAUGCAUAAAUUUGAAAACGUUAACGCAGUGCAUCUGUUUGCACAGCGUGGAACGCCUGCAGUUGGUGCCACGGUCGCUACUUAUCAUUUUCAGAUUGCGUGAAGCGUGCCAAGAUGUUCUUUUCUUUUUUUUUUCGGUAACUGGAGUAUCUAAACUGUUGCUUCUCUAGGUCGUAGGAACAGGUAGUCCCACCGUAUACGCGUGUAAGCGCCAGCAGUGCUCUGCGUUUACUAUGCAUAUAGAAUAUGUGGAAGCUGUAUUGGCCCCCUAAAAAAAAUGUUUUUUUUUAAUUGCACGACGCUUAAGCUUCGCAAGAGUGGAACGCGAUAGCAUUCAGAGAUCCUUGACUGCUUCUCACGCUUUCCGGCAACUGCAGAUUAUGUAACUGUAAUGUUUACCGGGAAACGCUGGCGGCGAACGCUAUGCCCGAAAGCGAGCUUCGUGGUAGAAACUCAGCCUCUUGCGUGGGCCGAUCCCGGAGGUUGUAUACAGCCGCGCCAAAAAAUUACAUCAUUUUCAGGUUUCUGUUAUUGUUUCGCAUUUUUAAUAUUUAAGUCUGAGAAGAUUUAACGUAAAAGCCAUGCGCUGUCGGUGUUUUGUUUCGUGACAUUUGUUUGUGGACGGUGAUUCUCAAAAUUUCGAGGAAUAACUUUGUCAAGAAUGUAAGACAAGGUAUGAGCAACUUUCGUCAUAGAAUGGCGUGGCAGUGUAACCCGCAUAUACAGCAUGUCUUAUAGCCAGGCGUGGUAUAUGCUUAUACCUGAAUAUAUACGGAAAUUUUCGCUCGCGGAGAACUCCGCCGACACCGGAUCUUCUGCGCCACAUGCAGAGGCCUUAGCGCUUUUGCGUUAAAACAUGCAGCGGUAUACAGAAUCGCUGGUUUGAAUGUAACGCUUUUAAAAUGGGGGUAACACCGUACCGCUAAUUCUCUUUCGAGAGACUGUCCGACACGUGUCCUUGAAGAAGCGUCGAAGAGAACAGUGAGAAAAGGUUGGGGAAUUCACGACCCUUUUAUUGUUUGUUUCUUCUUUGGCGAAGUAAAAAAUGGUUGUCUGACGGCCCAUGGAAUCCAAAGGCUUCAAAAAAGACUUGACGUGUCGAGAAGCAGGCAGACAAGGCCCGCUCCAUCGGAAGCGCACGAGGACCAAUUGAAAAUUAAGCUGCAUUUAUUGCGUUCAUAGACUCAACGUUUCUUGGUGUUGCUUUCCUUGUUUACUUUUAUCGCUGUCUUCCUCACUCGUCCUGAUGGCAAAACAAGAGAAGGGAAGAAAACAAAUGUUAGCGAAGUCACUUCCUGUGAGAGAACCCGCCAUGUGACAUGUGAAUUGUCGCUGUUCUAAAAAAAAAAAAAAAGCUGUGUCUGUCUUUCUUUUGCUCCAUCUAAACUUGAAAACUGUGCUACCGAAAUUAAAAUGUAUGUUCAUUUGCUGCCCA